UAGGGAAUAUUGGGCAAUGGGCGGAAGCCUGACCCAGCCAUGCCGCGUGAAGGUUAAGGCCGUUAGGUUGUAAACUUCUUUUACUUGGGAAGAAAAGCCGAGAUUUAUCUUGGUCUGACGGUACCAAGGGAAUAAGCACCGGCUAACUCCGUGCCAGCAGCCGCGGUAAUACGGAGGGUGCAAGCGUUAUCCGGAAUCACUGGGUUUAAAGGGUACGUAGGCGGCCAGAUAAGUCAGGGGUGAAAGGUGUCGGCUCAACCGACGGACUGCCCUUGAUACUGUUUGGCUUGAAUGGGGGCGAGGCAGGCGGAAUGCGUCAUGUAGCGGUGAAAUGCAUAGAUAUGACGUGGAACACCGAUUGCGAAGGCAGCUUGCCAGACCUUGAUUGACGCUGAGGUAC
rnacentral:rRNA from 1 species